rnacentral:tRNA from 1 species
ACUUCUCUAGUACUAAUAAGUACAAGUGACUUCCACUCACUAAGUCCCAGUAAAAGCCUGGGGGAAAGUA